rnacentral:rRNA from 1 species
UACGUAGGGGGCAAGCGUUGUCCGGAUUUAUUGGGCGUAAAGAGCGUGUAGGCGGCCAAGCAGGUCCGCUGUCGAAAACUCGGAGGCUCAACCUCGAGACGUCGGUGGAAACCGUUUGGCUAGAGUCCGGAAGAGGAGAGUGGAAUUCCCGGUGGAAGCGGUGAAAUGCGUAGAGAUCGGGAAGAACGCCGGCGGCGAAAGCGACUCUCUGGUCGGAAUCUGACGCUGAGGCGACGAAAGCUAGGGGGAGCAAACGGGA